rnacentral:rRNA from 1 species
GACGAACGCUGGCGGCGUGCUUAACACAUGCAAGUCGAACGGAAAGGCCCUGCUUUUGUGGGGUGCUCGAGUGGCGAACGGGUGAGUAACACGUGAGUAACCUGCCCUUGACUUUGGGAUAACUUCAGGAAACUGGGGCUAAUACCGGAUAGGAGCUCCUGCUGCGUGGUGGGGGUUGGAAAGUUUCGGCGGUGGGGGCUGGACUCGCGGCUUAUCAGCUUGUUGGUGGGGUAGUGGCUUACCAAGGCUUUGACGGGUAGCCGGCCUGAGAGGGUGACCGGCCACCUUGGGCCUGAGAUACGGCCCAGACUCCUACGUGAGGCAGCAGUGGGGAAUAUUGCACAAUGGGCGGACGCCUGAUGCAGCAACGCCGCGUUCGGGAUGACGGCCUUCGGGUUGUAAACCGCUUUCGCCUGUGACGAAGCGUGAGUGACGGUAAUGGGUAAAGAAGCACCGGCUAACUACGUG